rnacentral:tRNA from 1 species
AGGGGUAUAGUUUAAUGGUAGAGCAGCGGUCUCCAAAACCGCAAGUGGAGGUUCGAGUCCUUCUACCCCUGCCA